rnacentral:rRNA from 1 species
UCAGGAUGAACGCUGGCGGUCUGCUUAACACAUGCAAGUCGAACGCACCUUUCGGGGUGAGUGGCGGACGGGUGAGUAACGCGUGAGAAUCUACCAAAAGGACCGGGACAACCACUGGAAACGGUGGCUAAUACCGGAUGAGCCGCAACGUAAAAAGGGAAACCUGCCUUUUGAAGAGCUCGCGUCUGAUUAGCUAGUUGGUGAGGUAAGAGCUCACCAAGGCAGCGAUCAGUAGCUGGUCUGAGAGGAUGACCAGCCACACUGGGACUGAGACACGGCCCAGACUCCUACGGGAGGCAGCAGUGGGGAAUUUUCCGCAAUGGGCGAAAGCCUGACGGAGCAAGACCGCGUGAGGGAAGAAGGCUCUUGGGUCGUAAACCUCUUUUAUCAGGGAAGAAAAAAAUGACGGUACCUGAAGAAUCAGCCUCGGCUAACUCCGUGCCAGCAGCCGCGGUAAUACGGAGGAGGCAAGCGUUAUCCGGAAUUAUUGGGCGUAAAGCGUCCGCAGGUGGCUUAUCAAGUCUGCUGUCAAAGAGUGGGGCUUAACCCCAUAAAGGCAGUGGAAACUGAGAAGCUAGAGUGCCGUAGGGGUAGAGGGAAUUC